rnacentral:rRNA from 1 species
GACGAACGCUGGCGGCGUGCUUAACACAUGCAAGUCGAACGGAAAGGCCCUGCUUGUGUGGGGUGCUCGAGUGGCGAACGGGUGAGUAACACGUGAGUAUCCUGCCCUUGACUUUGGGAUAACUUCAGGAAACUGGGGCUAAUACCGGAUAGGAGCGCCUGCUGCAUGGUGGGGGUUGGAAAGUUUCGGCGGUUGGGGCUGGAUUCGCGGCUUAUCAGCUUGUUGGUGGGGUAGUGGCUUACCAAGGCUUUGACGGGUAGCUGGCCUGAGAGGGUGACAGGCGAAAUUAGGACUGAGAGACGGCGCAGUCUCCCACAGGGGACAGCAGGGGGGAAUAUUGCACAAUGGGCGGAAGCCUGAUCCGGUCACGCCGCGUGCGGGAUGACGGCCUUCGGGUUGUAAACCGCUUUCGCCUAUGACCAAGCGUGAGUGACGGUAAUGAGUAAAGAAGCACCGGCUAACUACGUG